rnacentral:rRNA from 1 species
CGUCACUGGUGGGCCCGCCGGCGGGGGAAACCGGAGGGGGCUAGCCUUGCUCGGAAUUACUGGGCGGUAAGGGAACGUAGGCGGCUUGUUAAGGCAGGGGUGAAAUCCGGGAGCUCAACGCCAGAACGGCCUUUGAUACUGGCGAGCUUGAGUUCGGGAGAGGUGAGUGGAACUGCGAGUGUAGAGGUGAAAUUCGUAGAUAUUCGCAAGAACACCAGUGGCGAAGGCGGCUCACUGGCCCGAUACUGACGCUGAGGUGCGAAAGCGUGGGGAGCAAACAGGAUUAGAUACCCGGGUAGUC